CCUGAACCAGAGACUGGAGAGCAGGCUCCAAGCAGCUCUCUGCCAUGACCCAGGGAGUGCCAGGAUCCAGGGGGACACACAGUCUACAGGAGCAGCUCAGCCGAUGUCAGCAUCAGUACAGAAACCGCCAGAGACUCCCUCACAGACAGAGGUACAGAAUUCUCCAUUAAAUGUCAGCAGAUGAAGCCCAGCGUUCUGAGAAAUGGAUCAGACACCAGCUUCCAGGCUGCCGUGUCAAUCAAUGGAUCAUUAGAAACCCUACCUAAAACGACGAACAGACUUAAACCUAGCCCACGUAUGGCCUCAAAAUAACAUAACAGCGUGUAUCAACUUUACUCAAAUAAAAAUUUUAAAAAUCUUA